rnacentral:tRNA from 1 species
GGCAAGGUAGCUCAGUUGGUAGAGCAGUAAAAAGAGUGUAAGUCAUGUCUGUGACUUCUACAGCAAUCAUUCUUCCAUUCAAAACGGUACUUGUCGAUGGUUCGAAUCCAUCCCUUGCCA